UCUUACGGAUGAGCAAAGAAAGUGGUUUGUUGAAAUGGAAUCUACUCCUGAUGCAGAUGAUUGUGAA
rnacentral:pre_miRNA from 1 species